GGUUGGUAUGACGUCAUGGCCGGAGAAGGCUUUGGUUGCGGUGGGAGCCGCCAUUUUGUGGGUGUCGGGGUUGGCCUGGUGGGUGUGGAGUGUCCAGCACCUCCAGCUGUGUCCAACGAGUUGAGGCUCCACACCCACUGCUGAGGAUUAAACAAAAUAUCGAGAGGCUGCUCAUUAAGUGAGCAUUUUCCAUCCUAGUGAAAAACAAGAUGGGAUAAUGUAAUUAAAGACUGCCAUAAUGAGGUGAGCCGCGAGCCUAAAUUAAAGGUCACAGGCAGCACACACAGUGCAGAACCUACCCCAGAUUCUUCCACGCAUCCACUGGGUGCAGACAGCCCGUAAUAGGCAACCGGGGGAGCUGUAUUCAGGAUCAAAGAUUAUUGCUCAGCAGGCAGCACUGAACUGCACAGUCAGCAAUUUAUACAGAGCUGGAUGAGUAAGGAUCUUUUUCCCUCUGGCUGUAAGAAAAGGCCGUACAGAUGGAGCUAUCAGCAACGCAAAUGACAGCUAACCUUGCUAGCUUGUGUAGUAAUUCACUGGUCCUAUGUCCAUGGCCAUUUAGCCUAUGCAACAUGUUGCAUGUAGGGUUGGCCUGGUUUGACUUCAGUGCGCAAACAGUUCCCUAAUCUGAUACUCUGUUCUGUCAGGGAACGUUUUAACUGUUUGUUUGCCUUUUGUGAGCAGAAAAAAAAACACCCUUAUUUAAGACUGGGACAUAAAAAAAUUCUUUCUCCAAACUGGACAUUGUGGCUACACCAUCAUGUUGUGUUACCUCAUUUCUUGAGCCUAGUUACUAAGAAUGUACAGUUCUUGCUUUUGAAGCCCAAGUUUCCCAUUUCCCUUUCUCUCUGACGGAACAGAGCCCCUUUCAUUUUGGGUGUCACAGAGGCAUUCCUUCUGGUUUCAGGGGAGAUGAAGCCAUCUCGCUCCUAACUAAGUCAAUGGGAUUAAAUGCCAUGUGCUUAUUGAAAUGUGACCAAUGUUAGGUCUUUUCAGGCCUGUAAAUCUGAACUCGACUUUUAAAUGUGCUUUAAAUAAAGUUGCUUCCCAACAGGUGCACA